GAUGAACGCUGGCGGCGUGCCUAAUACAUGCAAGUCGAGCGAACGGACGAGAAGCUUGCUUCUCUGAUGUUAGCGGCGGACGGGUGAGUAACACGUGGAUAACCUACCUAUAAGACUGGGAUAACUUCGGGAAACCGGAGCUAAUACCGGAUAAUAUUUUGAACCGCAUGGUUCAAAAGUGAAAGACGGUCUUGCUGUCACUUAUAGAUGGAUCCGCGCUGCAUUAGCUAGUUGGUAAGGUAACGGCUUACCAAGGCAACGAUGCAUAGCCGACCUGAGAGGGUGAUCGGCCACACUGGAACUGAGACACGGUCCAGACUCCUACGGGAGGCAGCAGUAGGGAAUCUUCCGCAAUGGGCGAAAGCCUGACGGAGCAACGCCGCGUGAGUGAUGAAGGUCUUCGGAUCGUAAAACUCUGUUAUUAGGGAAGAACAUAUGUGUAAGUAACUGUGCACAUCUUGACGGUACCUAAUCAGAAAGCCACGGCUAACUACGUGCCAGCAGCCGCGGUAAUACGUAGGUGGCAAGCGUUAUCCGGAAUUAUUGGGCGUAAAGCGCGCGUAGGCGGUUUUUUAAGUCUGAUGUGAAAGCCCACGGCUCAACCGUGGAGGGUCAUUGGAAACUGGAAAACUUGAGUGCAGAAGAGGAAAGUGGAAUUCCAUGUGUAGCGGUGAAAUGCGCAGAGAUAUGGAGGAACACCAGUGGCGAAGGCGACUUUCUGGUCUGUAACUGACGCUGAUGUGCGAAAGCGUGGGGAUCAAACAGGAUUAGAUACCCUGGUAGUCCACGCCGUAAACGAUGAGUGCUAAGUGUUAGGGGGUUUCCGCCCCUUAGUGCUGCAGCUAACGCAUUAAGCACUCCGCCUGGGGAGUACGACCGCAAGGUUGAAACUCAAAGGAAUUGACGGGGACCCGCACAAGCGGUGGAGCAUGUGGUUUAAUUCGAAGCAACGCGAAGAACCUUACCAAAUCUUGACAUCCUUUGACAACUCUAGAGAUAGAGCCUUCCCCUUCGGGGGACAAAGUGACAGGUGGUGCAUGGUUGUCGUCAGCUCGUGUCGUGAGAUGUUGGGUUAAGUCCCGCAACGAGCGCAACCCUUAAGCUUAGUUGCCAUCAUUAAGUUGGGCACUCUAAGUUGACUGCCGGUGACAAACCGGAGGAAGGUGGGGAUGACGUCAAAUCAUCAUGCCCCUUAUGAUUUGGGCUACACACGUGCUACAAUGGACAAUACAAAGGGCAGCGAAACCGCGAGGUCAAGCAAAUCCCAUAAAGUUGUUCUCAGUUCGGAUUGCAGUCUGCAACUCGACUACAUGAAGCUGGAAUCGCUAGUAAUCGUAGAUCAGCAUGCUACGGUGAAUACGUUCCCGGGUCU
rnacentral:rRNA from 1 species